CGUAUAGCUCAGCUGGAUAGAGCGUCUGGCUACGGACCAGAAGGUCGGGGGUUCGAAUCCUCUUGCGC
rnacentral:tRNA from 1 species